GGCUCCAUAGUGUAGUGGUUAGCACGUCUGCUUUACACGCAGAAGGUCCUGGUUUGCGCACCAGGUGGAGCCA
rnacentral:tRNA from 1 species